rnacentral:rRNA from 1 species
GAUGAACGCUGGCGGCGUGCCUAAUACAUGCAAGUCGAGCGAACGGACGAGAAGCUUGCUUUUCUGAUGUUAGCGGCGGACGGGUGAGUAACACGUGGAUAACCUACCUAUAAGACUGGGAUAACUUCGGGAAACCGGAGCUAAUACUGGAUAAUAUUUUGAACCGCAUGGUUCAAAAGUGAAAGACGGUCUUGCUGUCACUUAUAGAUGGAUCCGCGCUGCAUUAGCUAGUUGGUAAGGUAACGGCUUACCAAGGCAACGAUGCAUAGCCGACCUGAGAGGGUGAUCGGCCACACUGGAACUGAGACACGGUCCAGACUCCUACGGGAGGCAGCAGUAGGGAAUCUUCCGCAAUGGGCGAAAGCCUGACGGAGCAACGCCGCGUGAGUGAUGAAGGUCUUCGGAUCGUAAAACUCCGUUGUUAGGGAAGAACAUAUGUGGAAGUAACUGUGCACAUCUUGACGGUACCUAAUCAGAAAGCCCCGGCUAACUACGUG